rnacentral:rRNA from 1 species
CUGGCUCAGAACGAACGCUGGCAGCGUGGAUUAGGCAUGCAAGUCGGACGGGAGUCGGGAAGGUAGCAAUAGUCGGCCCGUGAGAGUGGCGGAAGGGCGAGGAACACGUGGCAACCUGUCCUUGAGGUGGGGAAAAACCGCUGGAAACGGCGGCUAAUACCGAAUGUGGCGCCGGGAGGCAUCUUCCGAGCGCUAAAGGGGGCGAAAGCUCCCCCUCUUCGAGGGGCUCGCGCACCAUCAGCUUGUUGGCGGGUAACGGCCCACCAAGGCUCACGGUUAGCUGGUCUGAGAGGAUGGCCAGCCGCACUGGGACUGAGAUACUGCCCAGACUCCUACGGGAGGCUGCAGUCGAGGAUCAUUCGCAAUGGGGGAAACCCUGACGAUGCGACGCUGCGUGGGAAGGAUGAAGGCCCUCGGGUCGUAAACUCCUGUCAUGAAGGGAAAAGGCGAGGGGACCCAACACGUCCCUUAGUUGAUGGUACCUCAAGAGGAACGGGCGGCUAACUCUGUGCCAGCAGCCGC